rnacentral:rRNA from 1 species
GACGAACGCUGGCGGCGUGCUUAACACAUGCAAGUCGAACGAAGUGGCGAACGGGUGAGUAACGCGUAAUCAACCUGCCCUUCAGAGGGGGACAACAGUUGGAAACGACUGCUAAUACCGCAUACUGAAGGAGGGGAUUGCGUCUGAUUGGCUAGGUGGAGGGGUAACGGCCCACCGAGGCGAUGAUCAGUAGUCGGUCUGGGGAGGUUAACGGCGACCUUGGGACUGGUAAACGGCCCAAACUCCUACGGGAGGCAGCAGUGGGGAAUCUUCCGCAAUGGACGGAAGUCUGACGGAGCAACGCCGCGUGAGUGAUGACGGCCUUCGGGUGGGAAAGCUCUGUUAAUCGGGACGCGGUACCGGAAUAGAAAGCCACGGCUAACUACGUGCCAGCCGCCGCGGUAAUUC